AUUGAACGCUGGCGGCAUGCCUUACACAUGCAAGUCGAACGGCAGCACGGAGCUUGCUCUGGUGGCGAGUGGCGAACGGGUGAGUAAUAUAUCGGAACGUACCCUAGAGUGGGGGAUAACGUAGCGAAAGUUACGCUAAUACCGCAUACGAUCUAAGGAUGAAAGUGGGGGAUCGCAAGACCUCAUGCUCGUGGAGCGGCCGAUAUCUGAUUAGCUAGUUGGUAGGGUAAAAGCCUACCAAGGCAUCGAUCAGUAGCUGGUCUGAGAGGACGACCAGCCACACUGGAACUGAGACACGGUCCAGACUCCUACGGGAGGCAGCAGUGGGGAAUUUUGGACAAUGGGCGAAAGCCUGAUCCAGCAAUGCCGCGUGAGUGAAGAAGGCCUUCGGGUUGUAAAGCUCUUUUGUCAGGGAAGAAACGGUGAAAGCUAAUAUCUCUUGCUAAUGACGGUACCUGAAGAAUAAGCACCGGCUAACUACGUGCCAGCAGCCGCGGUAAUACGUAGGGUGCAAGCGUUAAUCGGAAUUACUGGGCGUAAAGCGUGCGCAGGCGGUUUUGUAAGUCUGAUGUGAAAUCCCCGGGCUCAACCUGGGAAUUGCAUUGGAGACUGCAAGGCUAGAAUCUGGCAGAGGGGGGUAGAAUUCCACGUGUAGCAGUGAAAUGCGUAGAUAUGUGGAGGAACACCGAUGGCGAAGGCAGCCCCCUGGGUCAAGGUUGACGCUCAUGCACGAAAGCGUGGGGAGCAAACAGGAUUAGAUACCCUGGUAGUCCACGCCCUAAACGGUGUCUACUAGUUGUCGGGUCUUAAUUGACUUGGUAACGCAGCUAACGCGUGAAGUAGACCGCCUGGGGAGUACGGUCGCAAGAUUAAAACUCAAAGGAAUUGACGGGGACCCGCACAAGCGGUGGAUGAUGUGGAUUAAUUCGAUGCAACGCGAAAAACCUUACCUACCCUUGACAUGGCUGGAAUCCUCGAGAGAUUGAGGAGUGCUCGAAAGAGAACCAGUACACAGGUGCUGCAUGGCUGUCGUCAGCUCGUGUCGUGAGAUGUUGGGUUAAGUCCCGCAACGAGCGCAACCCUUGUCAUUAGUUGCUACGAAAGGGCACUCUAAUGAGACUGCCGGUGACAAACCGGAGGAAGGUGGGGAUGACGUCAAGUCCUCAUGGCCCUUAUGGGUAGGGCUUCACACGUCAUACAAUGGUACAUACAGAGCGCCGCCAACCCGCGAGGGGGAGCUAAUCGCAGAAAGUGUAUCGUAGUCCGGAUUGUAGUCUGCAACUCGACUGCAUGAAGUUGGAAUCGCUAGUAAUCGCGGAUCAGCAUGUCGCGGUGAAUACGUUCCCGGGUCU
rnacentral:rRNA from 1 species